rnacentral:snRNA from 1 species
ACAGGUGAGAGCGAUCUAGCUACAGUAUCUGUGUCCCCCUCCUCCCCCCAUCGGCAGGGUUGAUGCAGCUGACCUGGAUCACCAGGCAGUGUCCCCUUCCUCCCUCACCACUCCAUGUGCUUCCCUUCUGAUGCUGCACACUUGGUUGAAGAGGAUGACCACUCCUGAUAGAAGAGGACCCUUUCCUCCAUGUAGGGUAUACAAGUAGCUGUGCUACUGUAGUGUCCUGUGUAAGCAUAUAUGAGGGCCUGCUAUGGAAGCCUGAAGAGUCUGUGCU